GCCCGCUUGGCUCAGUUGGUUAGAGCGCAGGUCUCAUACUUGGCAUGUAUGAGUAAUCCCAUAUUAGGUUACGCAAUCCUGAGGUCGCAAGUUCGAACCUUGCAGCGGGCA